rnacentral:lncRNA from 1 species
UCUAUCUUGGUUAAGUUAGAGCGUAGUUGGUUCUUAUUCAAUUGUACUCUUAACCGGGUGAAAGCUUCAACGGUAUCCGUGCGCUUGCGGAUUAUCUGUGUGCGUAUAAAUACCAUAGUACACUCUAGUGCCAUGCUGGGGAUGACAACCUAGUAUUCAAGUGGUGUUAGCAAGUGUCAACAUCCGCCUCCCUCGCCGGGGGAUCCGGUGUCUUCCGCCUCGUCUCCUGCCCCCUUUCCUCAUGGGGACGCUCGCCCUCUUCACGGCUCAAAGGGGGCGGUGACCUGGGUCUUGCUGACCCGGGGGUCGACAACGCCCCCCUCUUCACGGCCUUCAGGGGUGCGAGCCAAACUGAAGUCACCUUAUGCUUCCGGCUGAUGGAGAUGACACGAAUUAGAAGAAAGAGAAAAACAAAAAAUUAAAGAAAAACCAAACAAUAGUGUUUACCUCGCCCGAGGGGCAGCACUCUUUUGGGAACUCAGAGCUCCCUGGGAGCCUCCUGGAGCGCUAGGGAUCAUCGGGCGAGUCCCCGUCUCCCCUACAGAUGGCACGGGGGCUCCGACGGUCGUCCCAGCCCGCAACGCCUCUGGCGAGCCCUCCACAUCCACCCC